UUCCUACGGGGGGCAGCAGUGGGGAAUAUUGCACAAUGGGGGAAACCCUGAUGCAGCAACGCCGCGUGGGUGAAGGAGCGUUUCGGCGCGUAAAGCCCUGUCAGCGGGGAAGAAGAAAGACGGUACCCGACCAAGAAGCCCCGGCUAACUACGUGCCAGCAGCCGCGGUAAUACGUAGGGGGCGGGCGUUAUCCGGAAUUACUGGGGGUAAAGGGAGCGUAGACGGCGAGGUAAGCCUGAAGUGGAAGCCCGCGGCCCAACCGCGGAACUGCUUUGGGAACUGGAGGACGGGAGAGCAGGGGAGG
rnacentral:rRNA from 1 species